GUACGGGAGGCAGCAGUGGGGAAUAUUGGACAAUGGGCGCAAGCCUGAUCCAGCCAUGCCGCGUGAGUGAUGAAGGCCCUAGGGUUGUAAAGCUCUUUCGCCAGGGACGAUAAUGACGGUACCUGGAUAAGAAGCCCCGGCUAACUUCGUGCCAGCAGCCGCGGUAAUACGAAGGGGGCUAGCGUUGUUCGGAAUCACUGGGCGUAAAGCGCACGUAGGCGGAUCUUUAAGUCAGGGGUGAAAUCCCGAGGCUCAACCUCGGAACUGCCUUUGAUACUGGAGGUCUCGAGUCCGGGAGAGGUGAGUGGAACUGCGAGUGUAGAGGUGAAAUUCGUAGAUAUUCGCAAGAACACCAGUGGCGAAGGCGGCUCACUGGCCCGGUACUGACGCUGAGGUGCGAAAGCGUGGGGAGCAAACAGGAUUAGAUACCCCGGUAGUCCA
rnacentral:rRNA from 1 species